GAGGAAAGUCCGGGCAACAAAGAGCGCCAUACUUCCUAACGGGAAGGAGGCUGACUGGAGACGGUCAGUUUACAGAAAGUGCCACAGAAAAUAUACCGUUCCGAUAGCUAUCGGGAUAAGGGUGAAAAGGUAGGGUAAGAGCCUACCGCUCCGCCAGUGAUGUCGGGGGCAUGGUAAACCUUAUGGGUUGAAAGAUCAAAUAGGUUCCGCAUUGGAUUAAGUUCCAAGAAGAGUUGCUCGCUCUUACGCGGAAUGGGUAGAUCGAUGGAUCCUGAUUGUGAAGUCAGGGCUAGAUAAAUGGCAAGAAUCCUUUUGGUUUAUAUCAGAUGGAAACAGAACCCGGCUUAC
rnacentral:RNase_P_RNA from 1 species